rnacentral:rRNA from 1 species
CUUUCUUUGCUGGCGACCGGCGCACGGGUGAGUAACACGUAUCCAACCUGCCCUUUACUCGGGGAUAGCCUUUCGAAAGAAAGAUUAAUACCCGAUAGCAUAAUGAUUCCGCAUGGUUUCAUUAUUAAAGGAUUCCGGUAAAGGAUGGGGAUGCGUUCCAUUAGGUUGUUGGUGGGGUAACGGCCUACCAAGCCUUCGAUGGAUAGGGGUUCUGAGAGGAAGGUCCCCCACAUUGGAACUGAGACACGGUCCAA